rnacentral:rRNA from 1 species
GCAGUCGCCGCGGGAAAACCGAGGGUGCGAGCGUUAAUCGGAUUUACUGGGCGUAAAGCGCGCGUAGGUGGUUUGUUAAGUUGGAUGUGAAAUCCCCGGGCUCAACCUGGGAACUGCAUCCAAAACUGGCAAGCUAGAGUAUGGUAGAGGGUGGUGGAAUUUCCUGUGUAGCGGUGAAAUGCGUAGAUAUAGGAAGGAACACCAGUGGCGAAGGCGACCACCUGGACUGAUACUGACACUGAGGUGCGAAAGCGUGGGGAGCAAACAGGAUUAGAGACCCCCGUAGUCCCUGUCUCUUAUAC